rfam:Helianthus annuus linkage group 4, whole genome shotgun sequence.
AGCCAUGUAGUAAGCACAAAGCGAACUAUUCUUUCGCCUUUUACUAAAGAAUACCGUGUGCUCGUUACAUCAAAUGGUAUACACUUAUAUUUGGAGAGCGCGAUUCUAUAACAGAAGGCU